GGUUGAUCCUGCCAGUAGCAUAUGCUUGUCUCAAAGAUUAAGCCAUGCAUGUCUAAGUAUAAACACCUUUUAUACCGCGAAACUGCGUACAGCUCAUUACAUCAGUUAUGAUUUCUUUGAAGAUUGGAUUUUUUUCAUACUACAUGGAUACCCGUAGUAAUUCUAGAGCUAAUACAUGCGUAAGGAACGGAUCUUCACUGAUUCGUUUGUAUUGAUUAGAUUUCUUAUUUGGAGGGCUUGCUCGAUUGUAUUGGUAACACAAUGCAAUUGUAUCAGGUGACUCAUAAUCA
rnacentral:rRNA from 1 species